rnacentral:rRNA from 1 species
CAGUCGCCGCGGUAAAACCGAGGGUGCAAGCGUUAAUCGGAAUUACUGGGCGUAAAGCGCGCGUAGGUGGUUUGUUAAGUUGGAUGUGAAAUCCCCGGGCUCAACCUGGGAACUGCAUCCAAAACUGGCAAGCUAGAGUAUGGUAGAGGGUGGUGGAAUUUCCUGUGUAGCGGUGAAAUGCGUAGAUAUAGGAAGGAACACCAGUGGCGAAGGCGACCACCUGGACUGAUACUGACACUGAGGUGCGAAAGCGUGGGGAGCAAACAGGAUUAGAUACCCGCGUAGUCCCUGUCUCUUAUAC